rnacentral:misc_RNA from 1 species
UUUCCGUAGGUGAACCUGCGGAAGGAUCAUUAAGGAUGAAGCCGGGAAACCGGUCCUUCUCACCCGUGAUUAUCUCAAUUUGGUGCUUGGGUGGCCCGCGCAAGCACCGGCUUCGUCUGGCUCGUGCCCGCCAGCGGACCAUAACUCUGUAUUUUAACCCGUCUGAGUACUAUAAAAUAGUUAAAACUUUCAACAACGGAUCUCUUGGUUCUG